rnacentral:rRNA from 1 species
UUUGUAGAAUGAACCGGCGAGUUACGAUCUGAUGCAAGGUUAAGCAGAAAAUGUGGAGCCGUAGCGAAAGCGAGUCUGAAUAGGGCGAAUGAGUAUUUGGUCGUAGACCCGAAACCAGGUGAUCUACCCUUGGUCAGGUUGAAGUUCAGGUAACACUGAAUGGAGGACCGAACCGACUUACGUUGAAAAGUGAGCGGAUGAACUGAGGGUAGCGGAGAAAUUCCAAUCGAACUUGGAGAUAGCUGGUUCUCUCCGAAAUAGCUUUAGGGCUAGCCUCAAGUGAUGAUUAUUGGAGGUAGAGCACUGUUUGGACGAGGGGCCCCUCUCGGGUUACCGAAUUCAGACAAACUCCGAAUGCCAAAUAAUUUAACUUGGGAGUCAGAAUGUGGGUGAUAAGGUCCAUAUUCGAAAGGGAAACAGCCCAGACCACCAGCUAAGGUCCCAAAAUAUAUGUUAAGUGGAAAAGGAUGUGGCGUUGCCCAGACAACUAGGAUGUUGGCUUAGAAGCAGCCAUCAUUUAAAGAGUGCGUAAUAGCUCACUAGUCGAGUGACACUGCGCCGAAAAUGUACCGGGGCUAAACAUAUUACCGAAGCUGUGGAUUGUCCUUUGGACAAUGGUAGGAGAGCGUUCUAAGGGCGUUGAAGCAUGAUCGCAAGGACAUGUGGAGCGCUUAGAAGUGAGAAUGCCGGUGUGAGUAGCGAAAGACGGGUGAGAAUCCCGUCCACCGAUUGACUAAGGUUUCCAGAGGAAGGCUCGUCCGCUCUGGGUUAGUCGGGUCCUAAGCUGAGGCCGACAGGCGUAGGCGAUGGAUAACAGGUUGAUAUUCCUGUACCACCAUUAUUCGUUUUAAGCGAUGGGGGGACGCAGUAGGAUAGGCGAAGCGUGCUGUUGGAGUGCACGUCCAAGCAGUGAGAUUGAGUGUUAGGCAAAUCCGGCACUCUUAAGAUUGAGCUGUGAUGGGGAGAGGAACUUGUUCCUCGAGUCGUUGAUUUCACACUGCCGAGAAAAGCCUCUAGCUAGAAUAACGGUGCCCGUACCGCAAACCGACACAGGUAGUCAAGAUGAGAAUUCUAAGGUGAGCGAGCGAACUCUCGUUAAGGAACUCGGCAAAAUGACCCCGUAACUUCGGGAGAAGGGGUGCUCUUUGAGGUUCACGCUUCGAAGAGCCGCAGUGAAUAGGCCCAAGCGACUGUUUAUCAAAAACACAGGUCUCUGCUAAACCGUAAGGUGACGUAUAGGGGCUGACGCCUGCCCGGUGCUGGAAGGUUAAGAGGAGUGGUUAGCGCAAGCGAAGCUACGAAUCGAAGCCCCAGUAAACGGCGGCCGUAACUAUAACGGUCCUAAGGUAGCGAAAUUCCUUGUCGGGUAAGUUCCGACCCGCACGAAAGGCGUAACGAUUUGGGCACUGUCUCAACGAGAGACUCGGUGAAAUCAUAGUACCGGUGAAGAUGCCGGUUACCCGCGACAGGACGGAAAGACCCCGUGGAGCUUUACUGUAGCCUGAUAUUGAAAUUCGGUACAGUUUGUACAGGAUAGGUAGGAGCCUUAGAAGCGUGAGCGCUAGCUUACGUGGAGGCAUUGGUGGGAUACUACCCUAAUUGUAUUGGAUUUCUAACCCGCAGCACUUAUCGUGCUGGGAGACAGUGUCAGGCGGGCAGUUUGACUGGGGCGGUCGCCUCCUAAAGAGUAACGGAGGCGCUCAAAGGUUCCCUCAGAAUGGUUGGAAAUCAUUCAUAGAGUGUAAAGGCAUAAGGGAGCUUGACUGCGAGACCUACAAGUCGAGCAGGGUCGAAAGACGGACUUAGUGAUCCGGUGGUUCCGCAUGGAAGGGCCAUCGCUCAACGGAUAAAAGCUACCCCGGGGAUAACAGGCUUAUCUCCCCCAAGAGUUCACAUCGACGGGGAGGUUUGGCACCUCGAUGUCGGCUCAUCGCAUCCUGGGGCUGUAGUCGGUCCCAAGGGUUGGGCUGUUCGCCCAUUAAAGCGGUACGCGAGCUGGGUUCAGAACGUCGUGAGACAGUUCGGUCCCUAUCCGUCGUGGGCGUAGGAAAUUUGAGAGGAGCUGUCCUUAGUACGAGAGGACCGGGAUGGACAUACCUCUGGUGUACCAGUUGUCGUGCCAACGGCAUAGCUGGGUAGCUAUGUAUGGACGGGAUAAGUGCUGAAAGCAUCUAAGCAUGAAGCCCCCCUCGAGAUGAGAUUUCCCAACUUCGGUUAUAAGAUCCCUCAAAGAUGAUGAGGUGAAUAGGUUCGAGGUGGAAGCGUAGCGAUACGUGGAGCUGACGAAUACUAAUCGAUCGAAGACUUAAUCAAUAU